AGGAGCCCUGGAAUGCGUGUUCUCACAGUGCACACGGAGUGGGGGAGGAGCCAGGCCAGGGCUAGGGACCUAAAGUGCCCCCAGUCUCCAUCCGCAGCCCCAGCGGGCCCCCUGCCCCUCUCCAGGGCUGGCUGGGACGCUGGGUGUGGGUGUCUCUCCCUCCUGCUCUUUCCCUCCCACCUGCCUCUCCUUUCUUUCCUGCCCUCAGCUGUCUCUUGCUGUCUCCCCCCUUUGUCUGUCUCUGCCACUCCCCUAUCUCUUUGUCUCCGUGUCCCCCCAUCCUUUCCCACCCCCAUCUCCCGCUCCCUCUCUCUCUCCCCCAUACAGUACUACGAGAUGUCCUAUGGCUUGAACAUCGAGAUGCACAAACAGGCGGAGAUCGUCAAAAGGCUGAACGGGAUUUGUGCCCAGGUCCUGCCCUACCUCUCCCAAGAGCACCAGCAGCAGGUCUUGGGAGCCAUC
rnacentral:sRNA from 1 species